GACGAACGCUGGCGGCGUGCCUAAUACAUGCGAGUAGAACGCUGAAGGAGGAGCUUGCUCUUCUGGAUGAGUUGCGAACGGGUGAGUAACGCGUAGGUAACCUGCCUGGUAGCGGGGGAUAACUAUUGGAAACGAUAGCUAAUACCGCAUAACAGUAGAUGUUGCAUGACAUUUACUUAAAAGGUGCAAUUGCAUCACUACCAGAUGGACCUGCGUUGUAUUAGCUAGUUGGUGGGGUAACGGCUCACCAAGGCGACGAUACAUAGCCGACCUGAGAGGGUGAUCGGCCACACUGGGACGGAGACACGGCCCAGAGUCCUACGGGAGGCAGCAGUAGGGAAUCUUCGGCAAUGGACGGAAGUCUGACCGAGCAACGCCGCGUGAGUGAAGAAGGUUUUCGGAUCGUAAAGCUCUGUUGUAAGAGAAGAACGAGUGUGAGAGUGGAAAGUUCACACUGUGACGGUAUCUUACCAGAAAGGGACGGCUAACUACGUG
rnacentral:rRNA from 1 species